AGACUAAGCCAUGCAAGUCGAACGUCCCCAGCUAUGGUGGGACGUGGCACACGGCUCAGUAGCACGUAGUCAACCUGCCCUAUGGACGGCGACAACGUCGGGAAACUGACGCUAAUAGCCGACGGGGAACGGGUUCUGGAAUGGCCCAUUCUCGAAAGGUUGGGGGACCAUGCUUUCCUCAAUGCCGUAGGAUGGGACUGCGACCGAUCAGGCUGAUGGCGGGGUAAAGGCCCACCAUACCUAUAACCGGUGCGGGCCCUGAGAGGGGGAGCCCGGAGAUGGAUCCUGAGACAAGGAUCCAGGCCCUACGGGGCGCAGCAGGCGCGAAACCUCCGCUAUGUGCGAAAGCACGACGGGGUCACCCCGAGUGUCGGCCGCUGAGGUUGGCUUUUCUCCGGUCCAAAAGGCCGGGGGAAUAAGGGGAGGGCAAGAUUGGUGUCAGCCGCCGCGGUAAUACCAACUCCCCGAGUGGUUGGGAUGAUUACUGGGCUUAAAGCGUCCGUAGCCUGUCCGACGAGUUCUUCGUUAAAUCCGGCGUCCCAAGCGUCGGGCUGCGGAGAAUACUGUCGGACUUGGGAGUGGAAGAGGCCGGCGGUACUCUCUGGGGAGGGGUAAAAUCCACAGAUCCAGGGAGGACCACCAGUGGCGAAGGCGGCCGGCUAGGACACGUCCGACGGUGAGGGACGAAAGCUGGGGGAGCGAUUCGGAUUAGAUACCCGGGUAGUCCCAGCUGUAAACGAUGCAGGCUAGGUGUGUGGGUGGUCAAGUGCUGCUCAUGUGCCGUAGGGAAACCGUUAAGCCUGCCGCCUGGGAAGUACGGUC
rnacentral:rRNA from 1 species